rnacentral:RNase_P_RNA from 1 species
AUCGCGCUCCCAAAAGGGCGAGGAAAGUCCGUGCAUUCAAGGACAGAUUGCCGGAGAAACUCCGGACGGCGUGAGCCGGUGGAAAGGGCUACAGAAAUGCAAGCGUUAGUUGGUGUUCACGGUGUCAGUUUGCGAGAGCAAGAGGUAAACACUACGAAAUCGCCGUUAUGACCGGAACGAAAGUGAAGGGAACAUACAAAUCUUUGAUUUGUCAGGCAAUAACGCAAGACUGCCGAUGGGCGAAAAGCUACAGGCGAUGGUGCAACGGUGAGGUAAGAGCAUCACCAGCGAUAUCGAGAGGUAUCGGCUAAGUAACCCCCAAUCGAAUGCAAGAUUAAGUUGAAGGUUAAAGGUUGUCCGCCCACUUCAGAAAAAAUCGCUAGAGAUUGAAAGUAAUUUCAAUACCAGACAGAUGAUUGUUUAGAAACAGAACACGGCUUAUGAGUUA